UGGGGAAUAUUGGACAAUGGGGGAACCCUGAUCCAGCCAUGCCGCGUGUGUGAAGAAGGCCUUAUGGUUGUAAAGCACUUUAAGCGAGGAGGAGGGUACUGGUAUUAAUACUACCAGCUACUGGACGUUACUCGCAGAAUAAGCACCGGCUAACUCUGUGCCAGCAGCCGCGGUAAUACAGAGGGUGCGAGCGUUAAUCGGAUUUACUGGGCGUAAAGCGUGCGUAGGCGGCUAAUUGGGUCGGAUGUGAAAUCCCCGAGCUUAACUUGGGAAUUGCAUUCGAUACUGGUUAGCUAGAGUGUGGGAGAGGAUGGUAGAAUUCCAGGUGUAGCGGUGAAAUGCGUAGAGAUCUGGAGGAAUACCGAUGGCGAAGGCAGCCAUCUGGCCUAACACUGACGCUGAGGUACGAAAGCAUGGGGAGCAAACAGG
rnacentral:rRNA from 1 species